GCCUGGCUGGGUCAUUCAGAAGAGCAUGUGACUUUUGAUCUCAGGGUCGUGAGUUCAAGCCCCACGUUGGGUA
rnacentral:tRNA from 1 species